AUGAAGUUUUCGGACGGAUUAAUACUUAGUGGCGGACGGGUGAGUAACGCGUGGGUAACCUGCCUCAUACAGGGGGAUAACAGUUGGAAACGGCUGCUAAAACCGCAUAAGCAUACAUUGUCGCAUGACAGAGUGUGAAAAUAUUUAUAGGUAUGAGAUGGGCCCGCGUCUGAUUAGCUAGUUGGUAAGGUAACGGCUUACCAAGGCGACGAUCAGUAGCCGGCUUGAGAGAGUGACCGGCCACAUUGGGACUGAGACACGGCCCAAACUCCUACGGGAGGCAGCAGUGGGGAAUAUUGCACAAUGGGCGAAAGCCUGAUGCAGCGACGCCGCGUGAGUGAAGAAGUAUUUCGGUAUGUAAAGCUCUAUCAGCAGGGAAGAAAAUGACGGUACCUGACUAAGAAGCCCCGGCUAACUACGUGCCAGCAGCCGCGGUAAUACGUAGGGGGCAAGCGUUAUCCGGAUUUACUGGGUGUAAAGGGAGCGUAGGUGGUUCGGUAAGUCAGAUGUGAAAGCCCGGGGCUCA
rnacentral:rRNA from 2 species